AUCCUUUCCCUCUUUUUUUCCCAAACCCCUCCUUCACUUUCACAAAAGAGAAGCUUUUCAGCUUCCAUUUUCUUUCACUUGAAAAAUUUAAAAACCCUCACUUGAAGAUUAAAAACAAUGAAAGAGAUGCGAAAUUUUGUAUGGUAAUUUUUUUCUUCGUGAUGAAAGAGAUGCGAAAUUUUGCUUUCUUCCUGGUUAUAUUUUGAACGAUGCGGGUUCAGAUCUAUGGUAACAAAAUUUUUGAUAGAAUCGGUGUAUUUUGAAGAGGGAUAUAACACUCGUUUUUGAAUUCGAGAUAACUCCUGUGGACCUUCAGAGAAGACGCAAUUGUCACUAGCUGAUAUUCCUCUUUUUGCUCUGCAUGGUGUUUGAAUCAAUCUCAAGGACUACUGGAUCAGAGCAUGCGGCGGACAUCAAAAUUGGUUAGAGGCAGCGGAAAAUUGACUAAGGUUACUACGGCAGCGCGACCUUGACACUUACAAUGAUUCACCCAGAUCCAGGUAUUUUCGGACACGGUGGGUGUUGAUUUCUUUGCGCAGCUUGAUCAUUGGAGUUUCAUGGUAGAUGCCCGGCGUUCGCAGACCUUGUCUCUCCUUCCCUAUCUUUCCACUUUAUGUAGUUAGUUUUAGUCAUUCAUAGACAUUAUUUUUUAGACUUGUGUUGUAUAGACGCUAAUGUACUCAGUGACACCCCGAUAUUGAGAAUUUUCGUAUUGGGUUUUGACUUUCUAUCCAGUUUUUGAGAGUUUUGAUGAUUUAAACAUGUGUUAUUCUUAUUUUUCA